rnacentral:rRNA from 1 species
UACGGAGGGUGCGAGCGUUGUCCGGAAUCACUGGGCGUAAAGGGCGCGUAGGCGGCGCGGGAAGUCCGUGGUGAAAGCCCGAGGCUCAACUUCGGGUCGGCCAUGGAUACUCCUGGGCUCGAGCACUGUAGAGGCAGGUGGAAUUCCGGGUGUAGCGGUGGAAUGCGUAGAGAUGUGGAGGAACACCAGUGGCAAAGGCGGCUUUCUGGUCUGUAACUGACGCUGAGGCGCGAAAGCGUGGGGAGCAAACAGG